rnacentral:rRNA from 1 species
UACGGAGGGUGCGAGCGUUGUUCGGAAUCACUGGGCGUAAAGCGCGUGUAGGCGGUCUCCUAAGUCCGAUGUGAAAGCCCGGGGCUCACCCCCGGAAGUGCAUCGGAUACUGGGAAACUAGAGUACCGGAGAGGAGGGUGGAAUUCCUGGUGUAGCGGUGAAAUGCGUAGAUAUCAGGAGGAACACCGGUGGCGAAGGCGGCCCUCUGGACGGAUACUGACGCUGAGACGCGAAAGCGUGGGGAGCAAACAGGAUUAGAAACCCCCGUAGUCC